rfam:Aedes albopictus isolate Foshan contig14535, whole genome shotgun sequence.
UGCCCAGCAACCCCUAUCCCUACCUCCUCGCGGUACCGGCCGGAAACUAUGAGCAACCUUAGGGAAGAUCGGGUAACCAACCCCGGUGGGAACUUUGGUCGUAGGCUGACAGGGAAGG